GACAGACUUUAUAAAGCGCGUAAGCGCUAACCAUUUCAUUCGGCCAUCCAACCUCCUUUAAAAAUAUAGUCUGUCAGCUAGAAUCUAGGUGUGGAUCAUACUAGAGCGCAUCGCUAAAUCCGAUAUACUUUUCAGUCACAUAAUAAAAGAUAGCGAACAAAGAAUGGCGGAAAUAGCAGGCUUCAGUUUAUUUUCCCUUUUAGCUAUUUUACUAGCAGGAUUGGGAUGUCUUCUACAUGUGAUUGGUCUGUCGGUUCCGUAUUGGAUUGUAAGUGACCCCAAUAUUUCUGGAUCUACAUCUGGUCUGUGGCAAGAUUGUAAUCCUUUCGCGUGUGCUUCAUAUCCAGCUGAAUUCAUUCCAGAUUAUGUUCACGCUACACGGGCGUUUGUCAUCAUCGGUUUACUGGUCGGAGUUGCUGGCUUGGCCUUAUCUGUUUUAAGUUUGAUUAAAAAGACUAAAUUAUUUAAACUCAUAGCUGCCAUCGCUUGUUUUGUCGCAGCUGGUUGUAUCUUAUCAGCUAUUAUUAUUUUCGGAGCAAACUAUACAUUUGAGGCAGCUAAACAUAGGGGAUGGGGCUUUAUACUGUGUAUUGUAUGCACGUUUUUAUUCGUUCCAGCCGGGAUUCUCAAUGUCUUGGAGUUUAGACAUUCUUCAUAAUACGGAUUUCGUUAUUAAGAUAUUUAAGCAUAAUCCAUGUACAAAAAUCUAUACUUUUACCCUUACUGCUUAAGUAUCUAGUAUGCCACCAAGUGGUCUCUGUUUAUCUUGGCAACAGAUACAGUCUUAGCAUAAUUAGAUGAAUCAAUAUACCCAUAGAUGAUUUCAAUUUAUCUGAAAGAAUUAUAUUUCUACAUAUGUAAAACCAAGAAAACCUCGUAAUUUAAAGAAGUUAAAUCUCUAUUUGUUUGAAUCGGAAAUUGGUCUAAAAGCACAUAUUAAUAUAAUAUGAAUGUAUGCAUAAUAAUUUAUAUUUUUAAAAAUCAGUUCAAAUUGAAUGGCAAUCGUUCACACCUUGGUGGUCCAGUCUACUACGGGAACACGGUUUGACAUUUCACUUCCGCAAUGACGUUUUGUCUGGUACUUUAAAAUGGUUAUCUAAUAUAUUGGAUACCGUGACCCCAUAUUUUCUCGGGAAGAUAACAACAUCUAAUUCGUGGUUUUAAUAUCAAAGAUUAUCGAAAAUAUUGAGUUAAGAGAUUUAGCUACUUUGGCUUUGUUGAGCUGUAUUUGUUGUAUAUUGCUAUAACUACAUAUAUACAUUCUGUUUUUGUAUAUUUGGUUAUUUAUGUUAUAUUGAAGUUAUCUUUCAUGAAAUAGUCAUCUUUUUAAAAAAAAAAA